ACGGAAUCCGGGGGAGGCCGAAACCCGGUAGUCGAUGGAACCUCUCACUGCAAAAUCUCCCCGCUUUUUGAGGCUGGAGCCGAGAAGAACGCCACAGAACAACGCGGGGGAAGAGGGGGCACCUCCCCCUUACCUUGAUGGCUUUCUCCAUGUCGCUCUCUUCCGACAUACUCAGUGGGGCCCCCACAGCCGGGAGAGGCGGAGGCUGCUCAGCCGCCCUGUCCCCGCGCGGCCGAGGGAGCAAAGGGCUCGGCACUCGGGCCCCUGGGCCUCGUGGCGACGGGCAGCAGCCGCCCCUCGGGACCGGUGGGGAUGAGGACCCCGGCGCCGGCUCUGCUUCGGCGGGCGGCUCUAGGCUGGCGGCAGCAGCAGCGGGGGAGGCGGCGGCCCCUGGGGACAAGUCUUUGUGCUGGGCCCCGCGCGGCCGCCUCCUAGCCUCAUCCCCAGCUGGGGAGGCAGGCUCCCGGGGUAGGGCGAGGCGGGGAGGGCCUCGACCCGGGGUGCUGUGUAGGGACCUCGCGGGGCCGCCGCUUAGACCCGGGCUCGCCAGGUCCUAAAAAGGAGCCUGCGCCUCCGCCUCCGCCGCCUGCACCGCCGCGAAGCCGAAGCCGAAGCAGAGCUCGGCGCCGCUGCUCCCGCCGCCGCCUCAGCGCCACACAUCGCCGGGACACCCGCGCCGGGCAGCCCCGCCGGCCGCCCUCACGCACGCGCUGUGCCCCGCAGGAGCUCAGGGCCGCCCCUCCUGCCGCCCAGCUUCGUGACUCCACGGCCCCACGCGCCCCUUGCUGCCUUCCGCUGGGGUUUCCGAGCCGCCCCCGAGCCGCGCACCCGACUUGCAGGCGCCCGCUUGGGCCUCCCUAAAACGCGCCGCAUACAGGACAGGCCCCUGGGCCUUCCGCGGCGAUGGCGCUGCGCUAAUGACGUCAUAGGCCCGGACUCGCGUGAGUGCGCGUGCGUUGGGGCCUCAGCCUUUACCUCCACACUGCGGAGAUUCACGCCUGGAAAACGCUCUUCUGAGAUGAUCUGUGGAGGUCAACCCAGGAGAGAGAAGACAGGACUGAAGCACCGAAAGGGUCCUGCCGUAACGGAGCAGGAUUGUAUAGAAUAUAUAAUAGCAGUAGCAGCUCUGUUUACGGAGCAUUAACCUUACGUGGAGUUAUUUCCUGCAUUUCCUCCUUUCAUCUUUACAAGGUAGCCAUUUGGCGUUGGGAGGUAUGGAUGUUCCCAUCCCUAAUUUGCAAAAUAGGUAACUGAGGCUCAGGAGAGCUAGACUAGUUUGUGCACAGCCGAGAAGUGGUCAAGCUAGAAUGGGACCCCAGGUUUGUGCUCCCUACUCUCCACCGAUAACCUAUCAAAGGGCUUUGCAAGAGCUUUUGACUAAUCGCCUCUCAGUGGUUCUCAUUCACUUAAUUGCACAUCAGUAUGUGCCAAAUCUACUAGACAUUGGAGAAACAGUAGGAACAACACCUGGUAGCGGCACAUGGAUCUUUCAGGAAAAUGAAGUAGGUAAUAAACAGGAAAAAGCCCGAAUCUGAUGCUAAGAAGAACAUAAACAGGAUGCUGAGAGAUUGGGUCUCUCCACAUUGCCUAGGCUGCUCUCCAACUUCUGAGCUCAAGUGAUCCACCUCCCUUGGCCUCCCAAAGUACUAGGAUUACAGGCGUGAGCCACCGUGCCUGGCUGAGAAGAUGGAUUUAAGACAUGUUUUGGAGCGGAAAGUGAGCAGAAGAGGUGUGCAGUUUCCAGGCCUGGCCCAUACAGACCUCCAACAGGUGUUCCCCUGUGCUCUUACUCCUUCUGCCAACUGGAAGCAGAUGGUGACAGGCUCUGGAGAAGGCAAGGCCUGAAGAUGGGAGAUUCCUAAGUGGAGGAGAACUGUGCCUUACUGACCUAAAUAUCCACUCAGUAUUGUUAUGUGAGAAUAAAUAAACUUGUGUUGACCUUUUA
rnacentral:lncRNA from 1 species